rnacentral:ribozyme from 1 species
GACAUCCGCCAAAAGUACGGCAUCAAACCAAGCUCAACGACAAAGUGAAGAAAGGAAAGCAAAAAGGAUGGACUCACACUCUCCUUUCCUCCGUUCUCUUUCUCUUCUCUUCUUUUCUUCUCUUUCCCUUUCUUUUCUUUCAUCCUGUG